rnacentral:rRNA from 1 species
GCAGAACGCGAAGAACCUUACCUACUCUUGACAUCUAGCGAAGAUUGCAGAGAUGCAGUUGUGCCUUCGGGAACGCUAAGACAGGUGCUGCAUGGCUGUCGUCAGCUCGUGUUGUGAAAUGUUGGGUUAAGUCCCGCAACGAGCGCAACCCUUAUCCUUAGUUGCCAGCACGUAAUGGUGGGAACUCUAGGGAGACUGCCGGUGAUAAACCGGAGGAAGGUGGGGACGACGUCAAGUCAUCAUGGCCCUUACGAGUAGGGCUACACACGUGCUACAAUGGUACGUACAGAGGGAGGCAAGCUGGCGACAGUGAGCGGAUCUCUUAAAGCGUAUCGUAGUCCGGAUCGCAGUCUGCAACUCGACUGCGUGAAGUCGGAAUCGCUAGUAAUCGCAAAUCAGAAUGUUGCGGUGAAUACGUUCCCGGGUCUUGUACACACCG